AAGAUGAUUGUAGGUGGCUUUUUAAGUCCCCGUCAAUUCGAGGGCUCAACCUUGGAUAGGCGGUGGAAAGUGGAAACUACCAAGCUGAAGUACAGUAGGGGCAGAGGAAAUUUCCGGUGGAGCAGUGAAAUGCGUAGAGAUAGGAAAGAACACCAACGGUGAAAGCACUCUGCCGGGCCGAUAUUGACACGGAGAGACGAAAGCUAGGCGAGCGAAUGAACUUACGAUCAAAUCCUAGUGGAGACAAAAAAACUAUUUUUUUCCUCAUCUGUUUAAGCGUUGGUGGAUAGGGUUACCUAAUAUAUGUGCU
rfam:Nicotiana attenuata strain TT chromosome 1, whole genome shotgun sequence.